UACGAAGGGGGCUAGCGUUGCUCGGAAUCACUGGGCGUAAAGGGUGCGUAGGCGGGGCUUUAAGUCAGGGGUGAAAUCCUGGAGCUCAACUCCAGAACUGCCUUUGAUACUGGCUAUCUUGAGUUCGGGAGAGGUGAGUGGAAUGCCGAGUGUAGAGGUGAAAUUCGUAGAUAUUCGCAAGAACACCAGUGGCGAAGGCGGCUCACUGGCCCGAUACUGACGCUGAGGCACGAAAGCGUGGGGAGCAAACAGG
rnacentral:rRNA from 1 species